rnacentral:misc_RNA from 1 species
UUUAGGGAGACCUACCCAACUUGUGAGUGGUACUUCGGUACUGUUAAAGCUGCAAGAGGUCAUUACCUAGGCCGUUCGAUGAUUGGCUUUGGCUUCAAACUAUUAUUAUCCGAUUCGGAUUAAUCAAAGAUUCUAACAAACAGUUAUAUAUAGUCAGCAACUAAAGUUAGUAAUAUAACUUAGCCUGCUGGAUGUAUGUCCAGUAAAGAACCUUGAAAACUGCAUAGUGACGCAAAUUGUAGGCAGUAACCGUGGUAAUAAUUACUUCAGUAAUUAAAGCAACGGGUAUUGAAUUACAGAUAAUCCUUUGAAUUGAUGAAAUA